rnacentral:rRNA from 1 species
UGUCGUCAGCUCGUGUCGUGAGAUGUUGGGUUAAGUCCCGCAACGAGCGCAACCCUUAAGCUUAGUUGCCAUCAUUAAGUUGGGCACUCUAAGUUGACUGCCGGUGACAAACCGGAGGAAGGUGGGGAUGACGUCAAAUCAUCAUGCCCCUUAUGAUUUGGGCUACACACGUGCUACAAUGGACAAUACAAAGGGUAGCGAAACCGCGAGGUCAAGCAAAUCCCAUAAAGUUGUUCUCAGUUCGGAUUGUAGUCUGCAACUCGACUACAUGAAGCUGGAAUCGCUAGUAAUCGUAGAUCAGCAUGCUACGGUGAAUACGUUCCCGG